rnacentral:rRNA from 1 species
CCUACGGGGUGCAGCAGUGAGGAAUAUUGGUCAAUGGGCGGAAGCCUGAACCAGCCAAGUAGCGUGCAGGAUGACGGCCCUACGGGUUGUAAACUGCUUUUAUACGGGAAUAACGCGUUUUACAUGUAGGGUUUUGUAUGUACCGUAUGAAUAAGGACCGGCUCACUCCGUGCCAGCAGCCGCGGUAAUACGGAGGGUCCGGGCGUUAUCCGGAUUUAUUGGGUUUAAAGGGAGCGUAGGCGGCAUGUCAAGCGAGCUGUGAAAUGUGCGGGCUCAACCCGUGACUUGCAGGGCAAACUGGCAGGCUUGAGUACGGGGGAGGCAGGCGGAAUUCGUCGUGUAGCGGUGAAAUGCUUAGAUAUGACGAAGAACCCCGAUUGCGAAGGCAGCUUGCUGGAGUGGAACUGACGCUGAUGCUCGAAAGCGUGGGUAUCGAACAGGAUUAGAUACCCUUGUAGUC